GGGGCUGAUUCUGGAUUCGACGGGAUUUGCGAAACCCAAGGUGCAUGCCGAGGGGCGGUUGGCCUCGUAAAAAGCCGCAAAAAAUAGUCGCAAACGACGAAAACUACGCUUUAGCAGCUUAAUAACCUGCUUAGAGCCCUCUCUCCCUAGCCUCAGCUCUUAGGACGGGGAUCAAGAGAGGUCAAACCCAAAAGAGAUCGCGUGGAAGCCCUGCCUGGGGUUGAAGCGUUAAAACUUAAUCAGGCUAGUUUGUUAGUGGCGUGUCCGUCCGCAGCUGGCAAGCGAAUGUAAAGACUGACUAAGCAUGUAGUACCGAGGAUGUAGGAAUUUCGGACGCGGGUUCAACUCCCGCCAGCUCCACCA
rnacentral:tmRNA from 1 species